rnacentral:rRNA from 1 species
GAGUUUGAUCAUGGCUCAGGAUGAACGCUGGCGGCGUGCUUAACACAUGCAAGUCGAACGAACCUUCGGGUUAGUGGCGGACGGGUGAGUAACGCGUGGGAAUCUGCCCUCAGGAGGGGGAUAACGGUUGGAAACGACCGCUAAUACCCAUAUGCCGAGAGGUGAAAUGAAUUUCGCCUGAGGAUGAGCCCGCGUCUGAUUAGCUUGUUGGUGAGGUAAAAGCUCACCAAGGCUUCGAUCAGUAGCUGGUCUGAGAGGAUGAUCAGCCACACUGGGACUGAGACACGGCCCAGACUCCUACGGGAGGCAGCAGUGGGGAAUUUUCCGCAAUGGACGAAAGUCUGACGGAGCAACGCCGCGUGAGGGACGAAGGCCUCUGGGCUGUAAACCUCUUUUCUCAGGAAGAAGAUAUGACGGUACUUGAGGAAUAAGCCACGGCUAAUUCCGUGCCAGCAGCCGCGGUAAUACGGGAGUGGCAAGCGUUAUCCGGAAUUAUUGGGCGUAAAGCGUCCGCAGGCGGCCUUUCAAGUCUGCUGUUAAAGCGUGGAGCUUAACUCCAUUAUGGCAGUGGAAACUGAUUGGCUUGAGUAUGGUAGGGGCAGAGGGAAUUCCCGGUGUAGCGGUGAAAUGCGUAGAUAUCGGGAAGAACACCAGUGGCGAAGGCGCUCUGCUGGGCCAUUACUGACGCUCAUGGACGAAAGCCAGGGGAGCGAAAGGGAUUAGAUACCCCUGUAGUCCUGGCCGUAAACGAUGAACACUAGGUGUCGGGGGAAUCGACCCCUUCGGUGUCGUAGCUAACGCGUUAAGUGUUCCGCCUGGGGAGUACGCACGCAAGUGUGAAACUCAAAGGAAUUGACGGGGGCCCGCACAAGCGGUGGAGUAUGUGGUUUAAUUCGAUGCAACGCGAAGAACCUUACCAGGGCUUGACAUCCUGCGAACCUUUAAGAAAUUAGAGGGUGCCUUCGGGAACGCAGUGACAGGUGGUGCAUGGCUGUCGUCAGCUCGUGUCGUGAGAUGUUGGGUUAAGUCCCGCAACGAGCGCAACCCACGUUUUUAGUUGCCAGCAUUUAGUUGGGCACUCUAGAAAGACCGCCGGUGAUAAACCGGAGGAAGGUGUGGAUGACGUCAAGUCAUCAUGCCCCUUACGUCCUGGGCUACACACGUACUACAAUGCUACGGACAAAGGGCAGCAAACUCGCGAGAGCUAGCAAAUCCCAUAAACCGUGGCUCAGUUCAGAUCGUAGGCUGCAACUCGCCUACGUGAAGUAGGAAUCGCUAGUAAUCGCAGGUCAGCAUACUGCGGUGAAUACGUUCCCGGGCCUUGUACACACCGCCCGUCACACCAUGGAAGUUGGCCACGCCCGAAGUCGUUACUUUAACCCUUGUGGAGAAGGACGCCGAAGGUGGGGCUGAUGACUGGGGUGAAGUCGUAACAAGGUAACC